AGGACGAACGCUGGCGGCGUGCUUAACACAUGCAAGUCGAACGAGGUGCUUGCACCUAGUGGCGAACGGGUGAGUAACACGUGAGCAACCUGCCCUUGGCUCUGGGAUAGCCUCCGGAAACGGGGAUUAAUACCGGACAUGACCUUGGUCUGCAUGGACUGAGGUGGAAAGUUUUUCGGCCAGGGAUGGGCUCGCGGCCUAUCAGCUUGUUGGGGGGUAACGCCCACAAGGCGACGACGGGUA
rnacentral:rRNA from 1 species